rnacentral:rRNA from 1 species
GAUGAACGCUGGCGGCGUGCUUAACACAUGCAAGUCGAGCGAAGCACUUGCCAUUGACUCUUCGGAAGAUUUGGCAUUUGACUGAGCGGCGACGGGUGAGUAACGCGUGGUAACCUGCCUCAUACAGGGAAUAACAGUUAGAAAUGGCUGCUAAUGCCGCAUAAGCGCACAGGACCGCAUGGUCUGGUGUGAAAAACUGAGGUGGUAUGAGAUGGGCCCGCGUCUGAUUAGGUAGUUGGCGGGGUAACGGCCCACCAAGCCGACGAUCAGUAGCCGACCUGAGAGGGUGACCGGCCACAUUGGGACUGAGACACGGCCCAG